GGAAGGGCAAGCCAAUGGGCGGUGGUCGCUGUUUUGAAAACAGUUAGGAGCUAACGACUCGUGUGGGUUCGACUCCCACUCCUUCCGC
rnacentral:tRNA from 1 species